UACGAAGGUGGCAAGCGUUGUCCGGAAUCACUGGGCGUAAAGGGCGCGUAGGCGGCCCGGUAAGUAGGGGGUGAAAUCUUGCGGCUUAACCGCAAGGCUGCCUUCUAAACUGCCAGGCUCGAGCACAGUAGAGGCAGGUGGAAUUCCCGGUGUAGCGGUGGAAUGCGUAGAGAUCGGGAAGAACAUCGGUGGCGAAGGCGGCCUGCUGGGCUGUUGCUGACGCUGAGGCGCGACAGCGUGGGGAGCAAACAGG
rnacentral:rRNA from 1 species